ensembl:lncRNA
AGUGUACAGAACAUAACAUGGUGCAAGGUUGGGAUUCACAUUUCUACAUCCUAGACUCCUCCUCACAUCUCAGUCCCUCCCACCAGAGCAGCGAGCAGAGGAGCUGAUGAAGAAUCACAAGGAGUUGGGCAAUGAGCAUUCAACGAAAUCAGACAUCCUUGCCUCAGAGCCUUUGUUUCAAAGCGACUUGGUCUGGACUUCCACCUGUUCGCACACCAUCCGCUCCUAUAUCUGGACUCAUCUGACUUCUGGUUCCUCCUUCGUCAGCUCGACUCCUUCACCUCUUUGUCCUGAAGUCCCCUCCGAAUAUUCACCUGGAUCAUCCACCCGUCUUCCCGACGACGUCUCCCCUCACAUCACACCAGCCGCCGCAGUCCUUACCCCCUGUUGUGCUUCCCAGCUCUCCA